UGGAGGCGUCGCCUAGUCCGGUCUAUGGCGCCCGCCUGCUAAGCGGGUUUGGGGCUAAAACCCCAUCGAGGGUUCAAAUCCCUCCGCCUCCGCCCA
rnacentral:tRNA from 1 species